rnacentral:rRNA from 1 species
AUGAACGCUGGCGGCGUGCCUAAUACAUGCAAGUCGAGCGAACAGACGAGGAGCUUGCUCCUCUGACGUUAGCGGCGGACGGGUGAGUAACACGUGGAUAACCUACCUAUAAGACUGGGAUAACUUCGGGAAACCGGAGCUAAUACCGGAUAAUAUAUUGAACCGCAUGGUUCAAUAGUGAAAGACGGUUUUGCUGUCACUUAUAGAUGGAUCCGCGCCGCAUUAGCUAGUUGGUAAGGUAACGGCUUACCAAGGCAACGAUGCGUAGCCGACCUGAGAGGGUGAUCGGCCACACUGGAACUGAGACACGGUCCAGACGCCUACGGGAGGCAGCAGUAGGGAAUCUUCCGCAAUGGGCGAAAGCCUGACGGAGCAACGCCGCGUGAGUGAUGAAGGUCUUCGGAUCGUAAAACUCUGUUAUUAGGGAAGAACAAAUGUGUAAGUAACUAUGCACGUCUUGACGGUACCUAAUCAGAAAGCCACGGCUAACUACGUG